rnacentral:lncRNA from 1 species
UUCUCUCUCUCUUCUCUCUCUCUCUCUCUCUCUCUAAAGAUCAGGUUUUUUUUUUUUGUUUUGUUUUCUUCUUCUCAGUACCUCGCGGGUGAAUCGGACGAUCUGGUCCUCGGCGGCGUUCAUGUCGAGCGCCUUCAUCCCGGGGACGUUCUCCACCAUGCCGAUGCUCCGCAGCCGCUUCACCCCGGUCGCCCCGAACGGCCCGUCAUGGCCGCAGGAGCUCACCACCACCUUCGCCUCCAUCACAUUCGGAUCCAUACACGACUGCGUGUCGUGGUUCAUCGCCACCAGCGCCCAGUUCGUCACCACGCCCGCCACCCUCCCCUUCCUCACGAUCAGAUCCUCCGCCGCCACGGCGUUGAACAGCUUCACGUUCGGCCGCUCCAGGACCUUGCUCAGGAUCGUGGACGUGAACAGCGCCGCGUGCUUCACCACCACGUAGGAGGAGUCCUCCCCCGCGUCGUCGUAGGGGACGCCGACUUCCUGCAGGAAGAGAUGCGCCGGCUUGCGGACGAUCAUGGCGGAGAAGAGCUGCCCGCCGAGCCACGCGCCGCCGCCGGGGGAGACGGACUGCUCGACGAUGGCCACGCGGAUGGAGGGGUCCUUGGAGAGCUCGUAGGCGCAGGAGAGCCCCGCCGAGCCGGCGCCGACGAUGACGACGUCGGUGUCGGCGUGGGUGAUCAUGUCGGUCAUGUAGCGGCGGGUCAUCUCGCGGGAGACGAUGGACUCGCGGAUGGGCUCGAACUUGAAGUUGUCGAAGUCCCGGCGCGCCGCGGCGGAGACGGAGAGCGAGAUCGCCUGCCGGCGCGGCGCGGCCGCGGCGCCGGCCUGCGGCGGCACGGCGAGCCCGUGGAAGGCCGAGCUGCGGGCCGAGGUCAGCGCCGCCGCGGUCGCCAUGGCUGCCAUGGUGGAGCUAGAGAGACAAGGCUAGAGAGAGAGAGAGAGAGAGAGAGAGAUGCUCGGCGGCGGCGGUGAUGGCGGU